rnacentral:rRNA from 1 species
GAUGAACGCUGGCGGCGUGCCUAAUACAUGCAAGUCGAGCGAAGCGGGGACGGGUGAGUAACACGUGGAUAACCUCCUAUAAGACUGGGAUAACUUCGGGAAACCGGAGCUAAACCGGAUACUUAUAGAUGGAUCUGCGCUGCAUUAGCUAGUUGGUAAGGUAACGGCUUACCAAGGCAACGAUGCAUCGCCGCCCUGAGAGGGGAAUCACCCCCCCUGGAACUGAGACACGGUCCAGACUCCACCCAUAAUCAUCAUUACAAAAUCUUCCGCAAUGCACGAAAGCCUGACCGAGCAACGCCGCGUGAGUGAUGAAUUUCUGCGGAUCUUAACACUCUGUUAUUAGGGAAGCGGUACCUAAUCAGAAAGCCACGGCUAACUACGUGCCAGCAGCCGCGGUAAUAC